UGUGUUGCUGUUGCUCGUUCACAACAUCAACAGCAGCAACAACGGCAACUACAACAAUAAUAAAAGAAAUAUUAGCAAAAAACACACAAACUCCCAAACACUCUUUUUCACAUACAAAAACAAAAAAAAACAAAAUUAAUACACAACAAUACAACAAUAUAAUACGAGUACAACAAUAGCAAAAACCAUAUUGUAGAUGUUUUUUUUUGUUUUGCUGUGUUUUGUAUACGUACGAACAGAAAACAAAACAGCAGCAAUAGCAACAACAACAAUAAUAACAAAAACCACACUAACAAAAGCACACACACAAUAUUUUUUCAGUUAGAAGAGAUUUUUCGCUUGUGCACGAUUUGAGCCAAUUUAAAGUUGGCAGUUUUGUUUAUGCCGUCGUCGUUAAUGCCGUCGCGUUUUUGUUUUGUUUUUCAGUUUUCGUACUAAAAAGAAAAAAAAAAUUAUAAAUCUCAAAGAAACAACAAAAAGCACAUAAUAAAUAACAACAACAAGGUCUAUGUCUAUUUUAAAUAAAAAAAUCUAAACAUAGAAAAAGAUGAUUUUUACACAAAAAAAAUUAAGAAUUUUUUUCUUAAAUUCUGAAUAAAAUUCAUUAUUUACAGUAGAAAAAAAGAAGAAAAAAAAAACAAACAAAAAUCAACGUGAGUGAUUGUGAUGUACUUGAUACGGCCGAUAAAACCGUUUAGAUAAUACAAACAACAACAACAAAAAUUAUAUUGAGUGUGACAUAAAAAUUAUGCCGACGCUAAACAGAAAUUAUUAAGAAAAAAACAGAAAUAAAUGUAAAAAAAAAUUGUUUUAAAAUUAUUAAAAAAUACAAGAAAAUAUGUAAAAAAAAAUUUUAUUACACAACUAAAAUAAAGUUUAUGAAAGCUAAAAUUGUUGUGGAUUUUUUAUUAUUUUUUUUUGUUUUUUUGUAAACAAAGAGUGAAGUGACGAAAAAUUUUGCGCGCGCGUUUUUUUUUUCUUGAACGUACAUACGUUUUCAUUGUCAAACCAAUAAAACAAGUGAUGGAUAAAAUUUAUUGAAAUCCUAAAAAACAAACCAAGUGUUAACAUAAAAAUUAAUGUGAAAAGUUAAA